GCCAGUCUGGUGUACUGGUUUGAGUGUUGGACUGUGACUCUAGAUUUCAGGGUUCAAAUCCCUGUUUGGCC